GUAACUUCGUACGAUAAAUUCUAGUAUCUAAUAUUUUACAAUAGUUAAUAUUUUAUUUCAGUCUUUUUAUCAAAUGAUCCGAUGUCAAAGAUAUUCUUCAUGGCAUUUGACAUUUCAAGUUUCAAUUGUAUAGUGAAUUUUUUUCGACAAAAAAUGAGAAAAAAAAAGAAAUCGUUCAGGAUGUUCAAUUAUCUCUAUCGUGUAUAUAAAUGAGAUGGAUCUGUAAUCAGGGGAAUGUGAUUAUCGUUCGGUUAAAUGUCAACGGUCUACGCUUUUUUCUCAUUGAUUAUGCAGGAAUGCUUCGACCUCGACAAUUUACAAUGUGUAUUUUAUUAUCUAUCAUGAAUCUAAUGUCCUGAUUACGAAAGGGUUGCUCCUAUUCAACAGUAAUAUUACGCGCGGACUUGUCCAUUAUAUCUAAGUCCUUCGUUAUCAAAAUUUUUAUUUUUUCAUAUUAGUUGCAUGCAUGAUCUUAAGUGCAAGAGAGCUUAAGUAACUAUCAUUUUACUUGCAUUCACGUACUUCAAUUAUCUCAAAUAUCACGCAAAAUUCCGUAAUUUACGUAUGAAGUCUAAAAUUUUGCUACAUCUCGUCGGAUUAUUACUGAAUACUUAAGGUGCUGGUUCGCUACUAAGACACUAACAUCCUAAAUUCCAUCUAUUGAAAUUGAUUAUGCUAAAACCUGUUAUUUCAGAAGUUGCAGACACGUUGCACUGUGUAUGUAUUUAUUAUCACGUAUUUAUUACGCGUUUCAUUGCUCAUAAUACUGACAAGGAGCGGUAUGAUUGAUGUGUGCGGACUUGACUUCACCCAUGUAACAUGUAAUCGUAUGUAAUCUUUUCGUUGGAAAAGUAACCGUUGAAUGAGAAGAACGAAAGGCAGAGAUGAAAGAAAAAUUAUCUAAAUUGUACGUUUCUUUUUGACAUAUCACGGAAAAGAAAAUCUCAUGGAACGAACAAUGAUUCUAACAUUUCUAACAUUAAUGUGUCGAUUGUCUUAGUAUCAAUGUGAUGCUAUAAGUUUCUACAAGAAGAUUUUGUAAGAAGAUUUCUAUGAUUUCAAUGACGUCAAUCUAAGCAGUUUAAUAAAUCCAGGAUAGAAAGACGACGAAAGAAUGGUGCGAAUGACAGCAAGAGGCUUUCCACAAGAUUUUUAAACUGAUCUUAAGACACGAAGAACUUCAAUGGAAUGGAAAGCUCUCACUUUCACGUGUCACGAUUUGCAUGUGUUUCACGGCAGCGUCACCCAAACGUUUCCAGAAACGUAUAAUUUAUGCGAAAUGGUUAAUAUUUGCAGACUGUAUUUCUAUAUAACGUAUGCGAAGUAUGUUUGCCAUUUCUUGAAUAGAAAAGAAGGAAAUAUAUAAAUAAUAUCUUUGACUCGCGUCGUUUUAAAGAAUUAGAAAACGAAGGAUUUUGAAGAAUAUUUUAUAUUUUUCCAGAACACCAGAAAUUAUAUUGGAGUGUACGAUUAUAAAGGAGGACUCAAUUUUCUUGAAGAAAAUCACAAGUGUGCGAAUAAUGAGAUGUAAACUCAUUGUUGUAAUAUUUUUAUGGCUUUGUAAAAAAGUAAGUUUCGGAAGAUUUUUAUUAGACUAAUAUUUAUAAAACGAAUUUCGGAAAAGUAUUUUCAGUAGAAGUGAGAAGCACAAAAGAGAUGUAAACUUUUAAUGAAAAGUUUUAAUUUAUUUAACGAGAAGAUGUUACAUUAAGCGAUGAAUUGAUUUGUCAUCGAAAUUGCUAACAUUUUAAAUUUAAUGUUCCAACAAAUUAAAUAUGAAUUAAACGUUUUGAUGAGUUAUAGGCAGUCGAGUUGCUAUAAAUAAAUGGUACUGGAUGUAGAAGUGGUUUUGACCAAAGAAAACGACAGCCAAGGAGGUGAAACUUUUUCUCGAGACAACUCGAGUCAAUGAGUCGAGAUUCGAUUUAUCCCGUGACUGAGAAUAACAGGUUUCCUUUUUCUUCACACUCUUCCGCAGCUGUAUUUAAUCAGACAUGUAACUUUGUUCGAAAAAAAUUGAUAUGCAUGCAAUAUGAUAUUUGCAAUUCAUCAUAGUUUAAUUCUGUAGUAUCUGUUCGAUUGUAAUUUUAUAGUUACUUUACGAUUCGAGAUGAGAUAAAGGUUGGAUAAAGGUCAAACUUUUGCAAAUUACGCAAUAUUACAUAAACUAUUACAUAAAAGCACGAAUACUAUUGAAUUAAUAAUGUGUCAAAUAUCGCAAUUUUCACCUGUAUUGAGGUUUAUUGAUUUAUUGCAUUUCGUCUUAUAAAAUAAAUAAUCAAAAAAUACGCAUUAUUCUCGUUUGUACCAAUUUAAUUUUAAUUAA